rnacentral:rRNA from 1 species
AGCGAACGCUGGCGGCAGGCCUAACACAUGCAAGUCGAGCGCCCCGCAAGGGGAGCGGCAGACGGGAGAGUAACACGUGGGAACGUACCCUUCAGUUCGGAACAACCAAGGGAAACUUUGGCUAAUACCGAAUACGUCCGUAAGGAGAAAGAUUUAUCGCUGAAGGAUCGGCCCGCGUCUGAUUAGCUAGUUGGUGGGGUAAUGGCCCACCAAGGCGACGAUCAGUAGCUGGUCUGAGAGGAUGACCAGCCUCACUGGGACUGAGACACGGCCCAGACUCCUACGGGAGGCAGCAGUGGGGAAUAUUGGACAAUGGGCGCAAGCUUGAUCCAGCCAUGCCGCGUGGAUGAUGAAGGCCCUAGGGUUGUAAAGUCCUUUCGGCGGGGAAGAUAAUGACGGUACCCGCAGAAGAAGCCCCGGCUAACUUCGUGCCAGCAGCCGCCGUAAGAC